AACACUGUUAACCUGCGGUACCUGCGGAAGGAUCAUUACACAAAUGAAAAUAUGAAGGCCCUUCAAACCGGCUGGAUUAUUUUUCUUCACCCUUGUCUUUUGCGCACUUGUUGUUUCCUGGGCGGGUUCGCUCGCCACCAGGACCACACCAUAAACCUUUUUGUUAAUGCAAUCAGCGUCAGUAAAAAGUAAUAAUUAUUUUACAACUUUUAACAAUGGAUCUCAGAUCGGAAGAGCACA
rnacentral:misc_RNA from 1 species